ACCGCCUGAACUGAAACAUCUAAGUAGGGCGAGGAAGAGAAAUCAACCGAGAUUCCGCUAGUAGUGGCGAGCGAACGCGGAAGAGGGCAAACCGGAGGAUUUAUCCUCCGGGGUUGUGGACAGUUUUUUAGCAACUGGAACUAGGAGAACGGUAUGGGAAGGCCGGCCAUAGCGGGUGAUAGCCCCGUAUCCGAAAGGGAAGGUUGUGCGACUGGAUCCAGAGUACCGCCGGACACGUGAAACCCGGUGGGAAGCUGGGGGGACCACCCUCCAACCCUAAAUACUACCUGAUGACCGAUAGAGGAGCAGUACCGUGAGGGAAAGGUGAAAAGGACCCCGGGAGGGGAGUGAAAGAGAACCUGAAACCUUGUGCUUACAAGCACUCAAAGCCCGUUAAAGGGUGAUGAGGUACCUUUUGUAGAAUGGUCCGGCGAGUUAUUGUUACUGGCAAGCUUAAGGCAUUCAGUGCCGGAGGCGCAGGGAGACCGAGUCUGAAUAGGGCGUAUGAAGUCAGUGGCAAUAGACCCGAAACCGGGUGACCUAUCCAUGGGCAGGUUGAAGUGGGGGUAAAACCCCAUGGAGGACCGAACGCACGCCCGUUGCAAUGGUCGGCGAUGACCUGUGGAUAGCGGUGAAAUUCCAAUCGAACUCGGAGAUAGCUGGUUCUCCCCGAAAUAGCUUUAGGGCUAGCGUUGGCUUAGAUUACCGGAGGUAAAGCACUGAAUGGGCUAGGGGCCGAUAAGGUUACUGAACCCUAUCAAACUCUGAAUGCCGGAUAAUUGAUGGCCAGCAGUCAGUCUACGUGAGAUAAGUCUCGUGGACAAAAGGGAAACAGCCCAGACCCACAGCUAAGGUCCCAAAGAUACGCUAAGUGGAAAACGAUGUGGAGUUGCGAAAACAACCAGGAUGUUGGCUUAGAAGCAGCCACUCAUUAAAAGAGUGCGUAAUAGCUCACUGGUCGAGUGACUCUGCGCGGAAAAUAUAACGGGGCUAAGCGUAACACCGAAGCUUGGGCUGCACAGCAAUGUGCGGGGUAGGGGAGCGUCGAAUAUGGGGUGAAGUCGCAGCGGAAGCAGCGGUGGACUGUAUUCGAGUGAGAAUGCCGGAAUGAGUAGCGAGAAUUAUGUGGGAAUCAUAAUGGCCGAAAAUCUAAGGUUUCUUGGGGAAGGUUCGUCCGCCCAAGGUAAGCCGGGAGCUAAGGCGAGGCCGAAAGGCGUAGUCGAUGCACAUACGGUUGAAAUUCCGUAGCCACCGAACCUUAAGUACACUGACACAUGGAGAUAGCGGGACCCGGGCGUUGGUUGACCCGGGCGUAAGGGACCGAACUUUAGUAGGGAAGUCCGCGAUGCUCUGUGGCGAGAAAAGGUGUAUGGUAUGCUAAGGUGCCCGUACCGCAAACCGACACAGGUAGAUGAGGAGAGAAUCCUAAGGCCAACGGGAGAAGGGUUGUUAAGGAACUCGGCAAAAUUACCCCGUAACUUCGGGAUAAGGGGAGCCCCCUACGGGGGGCCGCAGAGAAUAGGCCCAAGCGACUGUUUACCAAAAACACAGGUCUAUGCUAAAUCGAAAGAUGACGUAUAUGGGCUGACGCCUGCCCGGUGCUGGAAGGUUAAGAGGAGAGCUUAGCGCAAGCGAAGGUUUGAAUUGAAGCCCCAGUAAACGGCGGCCGUAACUAUAACGGUCCUAAGGUAGCGAAAUUCCUUGUCAGGUAAGUUCUGACCCGCACGAAUGGCGUAACGAUUUGGGCGCUGUCUCAACAGCCCACCCGGCGAAAUUGUAGUACUGGUGAAGAUGCCAGUUACCCGCAACUAGACGGAAAGACCCCAUGGAGCUUUACUGUAGCUUAAUACUGGAAAUCGGUAAAUCAUGUACAGGAUAGGUGGGAGACUUGGAAGCCAGGGCGUCAGCUUUGGUGGAGUCACCCUUGGGAUACCACCCUUGAUUUGCUGGUUUUCUAACCUGCGGCCGUGAAUCCGGUCGGGGGACACUGUUAGGUGGGCAGUUUGACUGGGGCGGUCGCCUCCUAAAAGGUAACGGAGGCGCUCAAAGGUUCGUUCAGCACGGACGGAAACCGUGCAGUGAGUGUAAACGCAUAAACGAGCCUAACUGCGAGACCGACGGGUCGAGCAGUAACGAAAGUUGGAGUUAGUGAUCCGGCGGUAUGUGAGUGGAAAUGCCGUCGCUCAACGGAUAAAAGCUACCCUGGGGAUAACAGGCUGAUCU
rnacentral:rRNA from 1 species